rnacentral:rRNA from 1 species
GCGCUACUGGAUGAGCCCGCGUGAGAUUAGAUAGUUGGUGGGGUAAUGGCCUACCAAGUCGACGAUCUCUAGCUGGUCUGAGAGGAUGAUCAGCCACACUGGGACUGAGACACGGCCCAG